UUACAACCAAAAGAGCACUACAUUACACAACCAAAAAACCAAAAGAGCUAUGCUGCUUUGCUGCCACUGCUUACAGCCACGAGAGAACAAAAAACUUAGAAUCUAUGCUACUUUGCUUCCAUUGUUUAGUACAAGCAUAUUACAUAACCAAAAGAGUAAUCCAAAAGUUAGAAACUUUUCAUGUUGCUGAAGUCUCAAAACCAGAGAAAUAAUUACAUUAAGUAGCAUGAAACAAGUGAAGUCUAUUUACUGCAGCAUCACUUCCAUUUAGGCGCCAUGAUCAAACCUUUGCAACAAAAGACAUAAUUAUAGGUCAAAAACACAAUUGAUUUAUAAUAAAGUAUAUCAAUGUUAUAUCUUCAAAUAUACAGAAGGCUAUCAACUUACCACACAUGGUACAUGUUGCCA
rnacentral:lncRNA from 1 species